UGCGUAGGCGGCGCGGUAAGUCGGGUGUGAAAUCUCGGAGCUUAACUCCGAAACUGCAUUCGAUACUGCCGUGCUUGAGGACUGGAGAGGAGACUGGAAUUUACGGUGUAGCGGUGAAAUGCGUAGAUAUCGUAAGGAAGACCAGUGGCGAAGGCGGGUCUCUGGACAGUUCCUGACGCUGAGGCACGAAGGUCAGGGGGAGCAAACGG
rnacentral:rRNA from 1 species